rnacentral:rRNA from 1 species
CUAGGAAUCUUGGGAAUGGGCGAAAGCCUGACCCAGCAACGCCGCGUGGGCGAUGAAGGCCUUCGGGUCGUAAAGCCCUUUUGUGGGGGAAGAUGAUGACGGUACCCCACGAAUAAGCCACGGCUAACUACGUGCCAGCAGCCGCGGUAAUACGUAGGUGGCAAGCGUUGUCCGGAUUUACUGGGCGUAAAGGGCGUGCAGGCGGUUCGUUAAGUUCGAGGUGAAAGCUCCCGGCUCAACUGGGAGAGGUCCUUGGAUACUGGCGGACUUGAGGGAGGCAGAGGAAAGUGGAAUUCCCGGUGUAGUGGUGAUAUGCGUAGAUAUCGGGAGGAACACCAGUGGCGAAGGCGGCUUUCUGGGCCUUACCUGACGCUGAGACGCGAAAGCGUGGGGAGCGAACCGGAUUAGAUACCCGCGUAGUCC